ensembl:lncRNA
GUUAGCAUGUUUUGUUGUAGUCUCUGUUAUUGGUAAUGGUGAGAGGUUAGCAUGUUUUGUUGUAGCCUCUGUUAUUGGUAAUGGUGAGAGGUUAGCAUGUUUUGUUGUAGUCUCUGUUAUUGGUAAUGGUGAGAGGUUAGUAUGUUUUGUUGUAGUCUCUGUUAUUGGUAAUGGUGAGAGGUUAGCAUGUUUUGUUGUAGCCUCUGUUAUUGGUAAUGGUGAGAGGUUAGCAUGUUUUGUUGUAGCCUCUGUUAUUGGUAAUGGUGAGAGGUUAGUAUGUUUUGUUGUAGCCUCUGUUAUUGGUAAUGGUGAGAGGUUAGUAUGUUUUGUUGUAGCCUCUGUUAUUGGUAAUGGUGAGAGGUUAGCAUGUUUUGUUGUAGCCCUUGUUAACACUAAUAAUACUAUGCAAUGAUAAUAUUUGCAUUUUUUUUUCACUAUAAGCAACAGUGGGAUUUCUUCCAUUGACGGAGAGGCGGACCAAAGCGCAGCGUGGUUGUUUUGAUUCAUGUUUUAAUAAAUCACUUCACAUGAACAAACUAACAAAAACAAGAACCGUGAAAACCCAAAACAGCCCUAUCUGGUGCAAAACACAGAGACAGGAACAAUCACCCACAAACAGUCCUAUCUGGUGCAAAACACAGAGACAGGAACAAUCACCCACAAACAGUCCU